AACUUUGAUUUGAUGAUGUGAAGUUUAAUCAAAAUAACAUUAUUUAUACCAAUUUUGUUUUCUAAAAGCAAAAAGAAAUUGAUUAAUCAAUAUUGAUUAUCAUCUUGACCAAGCUUCUGCUUAUCAAUCAGAUAAAUAUCAUUCAAUGUAAUCAUAUUUUUUCUGUUCAACAUCUUCCAAGCUCACGCUGAGAUGUUCAUUAAGACUCACAACAGUGAUUGGAAACCAAAUACGGAUCAAAUUGAAUUAACUAUUCCAUUGGAAAUAAAAGCUCGCAAUUAAGCUAUAACAUGAAGUUAUCCAGUGAUGGACAAUACUUGAUGAUUUGGAUCCAUAAUUUGCAUCUAAUGAGACUCAAGGAAACCCUUAACUGGCCAAUAUUGGAAAGUUAUCGUUUACAAUUAAUAGUGAACAAAUAAAUGGAUGAUAACAUUCAAAAAGUGGCUCAUCAACAGCCUGGAGAAGUGAUUUUUAUUUACAAAAAUAACGGUUAAACUUCACUAAUAAAUGUGUAUUUAUAAUAACAAGAUGAACUCCUUUUUUGUGUA